rnacentral:rRNA from 1 species
CACGCAGGCGGUUUGUUAAGUCAGAUGUGAAAUCCCCGGGCUCAACCUGGGAACUGCAUUUGAAACUGGCAAGCUAGAGUCUCGUAGAGGGGGGUAGAAUUCCAGGUGUAGCGGUGAAAUGCGUAGAGAUCUGGAGGAAUACCGGUGGCGAAGGCGGUCCCCUGGACGAAGACUGACGCUCAGGUGCGAAAGCGUGGGGAGCAAACA